AUUGAACGCUGGCGGCAUGCCUAACACAUGCAAGUCGAACGAGAGGCGGACGGGUGAGUAAUGUCUGGGAAACUGCCUGAUGGAGGGGGAUAACUACUGGAAACGGUAGCUAAUACCGCAUACCAUCGGAGGUCCCCAGAUGGGAUGAGCUGGUAGGUGGGGUAACGGCUCACCCUGGCGACGAUCCCGAGUGGGUCUGCGAGGAUGACGAGCCACACUGGAACUGAGACACGGUCCAGACUCCUACGGGAGGCAGCAGUGGGGAAUAUUGCACAAUGGGCGCAAGCCUGAUGCAGCCAUGCCGCGUGUAUGAAGAAGGCCUUCGGGUUGUAAAGUACUUUCAGUGGGGAGGCGUUACCCGCAGAAGAAGCACCGGCUAACUCCGUGCCAGCAGCCGCGGUAAUUC
rnacentral:rRNA from 1 species